rnacentral:lncRNA from 1 species
GGGAUCAAUAUUACCGGAAAGACUGGCACAUCUUAUGUAUGCUCAAUAUAGAGGGUGAUUGAUCUCAUAAUCACUUGUGUGAGACACUAAUACAAAGAUGUGGGUGCUCAUUAGAGGAAUGAGUUCACUGAAAUGACCAGCCAUGAGAACAUCUUAUGGAUUCUUACUUAAUUAUCAAAAGAUGGUUCUCAUAGUGGGAGUUGUGCAAGUGAUCCUUAGACCUGAGAUCACUAUGGUACCUUGUGCACUUAAAGCUAUGUU